GGGCAAGAGAGGACGCGGCUGCGACUGCCCCCAGCCCGGCCUCACAUCACUCAGGGACAGAGGGACAGAGACAGGGACAGAGAGAGAGAGAAAGAGAGAAAAGCACAGGGUCACAGGAAGACUGACGGGCAAAGACACAGUUACAGACCUAUGAACAGAGCCACACGCCAAACAGGGACAAACCGUUGAGGGAGGAGAAACUCCCAGGAGCCUGGAGAGAAUGGCUCGGCACAGCAGAUGCAGCCGUGGUGGCCAUGGAGCUGACCAGCCUCUUGGGAGUGAGCUGGCCACCUGAGCAGGGUCCACUCAGCCCACACAAGCAGCAGCACCACCUCGCUGACAGGAGCUUCGUCAAUGCCUGCCGCCUCCUCCUUCCAUAACGAGGGACCACCUAGCAGGGACUUUCACUUUUAUUUCCACAGAGAACCUUGUGGUUAGAAGUCCAAUGGGUCUAGGCUGUGGGAAUCUUCUUAUUAACCACAAACAGAUGUCAAAAGGAUCUUUCCUAAUACUGUAGAUAGUGCACUUGGCUCGUGUGGGAGUCCACUGUCUGUGGAAACAUUACUCGUCUAUUUUUCAGGUAUGGUCUAUAUACAUAAAAGGCAGAGAUCUUAAAGGUACAGUUUGAUCCAUUUUGACAAAUGGAUACACCCCCUGUUUUUAUCAGAUGCUUCACUGAGCCCCCGUUUCAUGGUGUAAUUUAAGUGCCAUGACACCUGGAUACCCCCACCUUCUAUGAUCAGUGAUAUUCACAUGAAUCAGUUACAUACUGCUUGAGGCUGGCUGGCCUGACACUUGGCCAUUGUUUGUUUGAGACCUACAAGUAGGUAGGUGGGCUGUUGUCUGCCCCUAAACCAUGUCAGCUCAGGGGCAGUUCAGUUAUGGCUGAGCUUCGAGCUGCAUGCUGGGUGCCCCAGGAUGCAGCAGAGGGUCACCCAAUGACCAGGCUCUUUCUGUAGUUCCCUGUGGCCCAAGCUAGGAGAACAGAAACUUCAAUCAUGGAUGAGGCUGUUUCUAGGUGGCAAAUAUUUAUCAUAGGUAUCUCAUUAAUUACCUGGUAUAAAGUAAUUUGCUUU
rnacentral:lncRNA from 1 species